rnacentral:piRNA from 1 species
UAUUUUGGACAGUAGUAAAGUUGG